rnacentral:tRNA from 1 species
AGAGCCUUCAAAGCCCUUAGUAAGUAAAAACACUUAAUUUCUG